AUGUACAUGUACCCAGGUGGAUCAAAUACAGAUACCGAUCAUAUAUUUUUGUUUACUCAUGUGUGUUUUUCAUAUGUCUGCCAAGCAUUUCGACAAAUUGAUUAUAUCAUUCAGAUGUAUUUAGGCCAGGUUUCUGUGAUCCAAAAAAAUCAUGUGGCAUUGUGUACUAUCCAUGAUGAUCUGACUUUGCUGGCCAGGUCAGAAAUUCAAGUAAUACGACUAUUGCGAUGCAUCUUCCUACGUGUGUGUAUUUAUUUGCAUUAUCAAUAUUUUCCUCCAAAUCAUUUGUUGGUCAUAAAUUAUUUUGCAUUAUUGAUGAUUAAUUUGCAAUUGAAAUGA
rnacentral:rRNA from 1 species